UCUUUUGCAUCCUCUUCAACUACACUAUACUUAGGGACACAAAGGAUGUGUUCGUGCUGAGAUUAUACCAUUUUUGAAGACAUGGGUUAAUUUGCCUAUGGCAGUUGGGUUCAUGUUGUUAUACACAAAGUUGGCUAAUGUGUUGUCAAAGAAGGCUCUUUUCUACACCGUUAUUGUUCCUUUCAUAAUCUUUUUUUGUUGUAUCCUCUCAGCAAUUACAUCCACCCUGAAGCACUCGCCGACAAGCUUCUUACAGUUCUUGGACCAAGAUUCCUUGGUCCUCUUGCAAUUCUGAGGAUUUGGAGUUUCUGUUUGUUCCAUGUCAUGGCUGAACUUAGGGUAGUGUGGUCAUUUCUGUUCUAUUUUGGGGGUUUGCUAAUCAGAUAACUACUGUAGAGGAAGCAAAGAGAUUCUAUCCUCUGUUUGGACUUGGAGCAAAUGUUGCCCUCAUUUUCUCUGGUCGAACUGUCAAGUACUUCUCUAAUAUGAGGCAAAAUCUGGGUCCUGGAGUUGAUGGUUGGGCCAUCUCCUUAAAGGGAAUGAUGAGCAUUGUGGUGCUGAUGGGAUAGCCAUCUGUUUUCUGUACUGGUGGGUGAAUAAUUUUGUUCCCCUUCCCACACGUAGCAAGAAGAAGAGGGAAAAGCCUAAAAUGGGAACAAUGGAGAGCCUGAAAUUCUUGGUGUCUUCAAGGUACAU